GACGAACGCUGGCGGCGUGCUUAACACAUGCAAGUCGAACGAUGAACCCGGAGCUUGCUCCGGCGGAUUAGUGGCGAACGGGUGAGUAACACGUGAGUAACCUGCCCUUGACUCUGGGAUAACUGCGGGAAACUGUAGCUAAUACCGGAUACGACCCUCGGCGGCAUCGCCAGGGGGUGGAAAGAAUUUCGGUCAAGGAUGGACUCGCGGCCUAUCAGCUAGUUGGUUAGGUAACGGCUCACCAAGGCGACGACGGGUAGCCGGCCUGAGAGGGUGAACGGCCACACUGGGACUGAGACACGGCCCAGACUCCUACGGGAGGCAGCAGUGGGGAAUAUUGCACAAUGGGCGCAAGCCUGGUGCAGCAACGCCGCGUGAGGGAUGACGGCCUUCGGGUUGUAAACCUCUUUUAGUAGGGAAGAAGCGAAAGUGACGGUACCUGCAGAAAAAGCACCGGCUAACUACGUGCCAGCCGCCGCAGUAA
rnacentral:rRNA from 1 species